GACUGUCUUUUUCCUUCCUCCUGGUGUGGCCUGAUGUAAUUUUGGCACACGGCUAGCCAUUGUUUCACUGAAGCUCCCUGAAAUGUUUCUUGCUCACUAGCAGCAUCCAGGUCGAAGAAUCGGAUGGGAAUUGCUAAGAGCAGUGACUCCCACUUUCCUUUCAGCUAAACACCGGCCGCUAGGAAAUAUCCACAGGAUGCAUCCUUAAUCCUUCUCCUUCCUGUUACCACCUUAGUCCCCCACCCCAGUUUCUUGUUUUUCUCUCUUUUCACUAGUUCUGGAUUACAACAGAGUUUACAAAAUAUCAUUUCCUCCAUAUCCCUUGCCUCUUAUAAACUGUACAGCUGCUGGCACCAGUAUGCGAACAUUCCAGACCUCAGAGAACAAAGACAGUUUGUUUCCUUCAGGACUGAGUGAGCAUCUGGAGCCCCCAACAGAGUUCUGGCUGAUUCCCGCAUGACUUUGUUCCAGUAAUAACACAGCAUAAUGGCAGUUUCCCAUCAAGUCUUUGGAGCAUAACAAUAACCUCAGGAAAGAGGGCCUGACAGAUCAUUUCUUCCCACCACCAACAAAACCCUUGGACAAGAAAAUGUGAAAUAACGCCUUUGGAAGACAGACUUAUUAAGCAACUGGCUUAUAAUUAGACACAAAAAAGCGUAUGGUUUUUCUGUCACCCUCGAUUGUAGAAAUGUUAAGUAAAAAAGAACAUUUCUUCUUUGUUGGUGUCUCAUUAAAUCGCUGUGUGCAACACCAAUUAAAGAACAUGGCACAAUAUAUCUACACAUCAAAUGGUCUCCUGGCAAAGAAAAGGGCAGCCAGAGCUGGAUGAGGGAAUAGACACGCACUUCCUUUUUCAAAGUACAGCUGCGUUCCUCUCUAAAACCCAUGCUCAUUGAGUUCCUCUGAUUUCCACAUUUGAUUUACACCCCAAAAGUCUUUCUGAUUAAAGUCCAUCUUGGGUUUCAAAGUGGAGUUUCCGCCGCACAGAAAUGUUGUUGCAUCUCUUUCCACAUUUUGCAACGAACAGAGUGCUGUCCUCUGAAGAUGCCGGCCACAGAGACUGGCGAAACGUUAGGAAGAACAACCUUCAGAACACGGCCAAAGAGUCCGAAAAACCCACAACAACCAUCAGAACUCAAGCAUGUUGGUGUUCAUGUUUUUCCAAACAUAUGCAUUGUUUUUGAUGCCCGUUUAAAAGCAUUGUUAUCUUUUGAAUGCAUUUUUGACUGUCUGGAUCACAAUAAAAGU